UGUUUGGGGCUGGAUUAAUUAUUGUGGGGU
rnacentral:piRNA from 1 species